rnacentral:tRNA from 1 species
UGCCUGGUGGUCUAGUGGUUAGGAUUCAGCACUUUCACUGCUAUGGCCCAGGUUCAAUUCCUGGUUGGUGAA